rnacentral:rRNA from 1 species
CCAGCAGCCGCGGUAAUUCCAGCUCCGCAAGUGUAUUCCUAUACUGUUGCGUUUAAAUAGCUCGUAGUUGGAUCUGCGUGUUUAGCGCGCGGUGCCGCUUAUGGCGGUAACUGUGACGCGACACAGAGAUGCUUGUCGUCGCGAUGCUCUCGCGGGUGUCGUGAACGCGAGCAAAGUUUACUUUGAACAAAUCAGAGUGCUCAAAACGGGCGUUUCGCUCGAAUGUUCUUGCAUGGAAUAAUGGAAUAGGACCGCGCGUUCUAUUUUGUUGGUUUUCGGGACGCGGGUAAUGAUUAAGAGGGACAGACGGGGGCAUUUGUACUGCGACGUGAGAGGUGAAAUUCUUGGAUCGUCGCAAGACAGACUACUGCGAAAGCAUUUGCCAAGAAU